rnacentral:rRNA from 1 species
UACGUAGGGGGCAAGCGUUAUCCGGAUUUACUGGGUGUAAAGGGAGCGUAGACGGCGAUGCAAGCCAGGUGUGAAAGCCCGGGGCUCAACCCCGGGACUGCAUUUGGAACUGUAUAGCUAGAGUGUCGGAGAGGCAGGCGGAAUUCCUAGUGUAGCGGUGAAAUGCGUAGAUAUUAGGAGGAACACCAGUGGCGAAGGCGGCCUGCUGGACGAUGACUGACGUUGAGGCUCGAAAGCGUGGGGAGCAAACAGG